GACAGAGGAUGCAAGCGUUAUCCGGAAUGAUUGGGCGUAAAGCGUCUGUAGGUGGCUUUUAAGUCCGCCGUCAAAUCCCAGGGCUCAACCCUGGACAGGCGGUGGAAACUACCAAGCUGGAGUACGGGUAAGGGGCAGAGGGAAUUUCCGGUGGAGCGGGUGAAAUGCGUAGAGAUACGGAAAGGAACACCAACGGCGAAAGCACUCUGCUGGGCCGACACUGACACUGAGAGACGAAGCUAGGGGAGCGAAUGGG
rnacentral:rRNA from 1 species